AUUGAACGCUGGCGGCAUGCCUUACACAUGCAAGUCGAACGGCAGCACGGGUGCUUGCACCUGGUGGCGAGUGGCGAACGGGUGAGUAAUACAUCGGAACAUGUCCUGUAGUGGGGGAUAGCCCGGCGAAAGCCGGAUUAAUACCGCAUACGAUCUACGGAUGAAAGCGGGGGACCUUCGGGCCUCGCGCUAUCAGGUUGGCCGAUGGCUGAUUAGCUAGUUGGUGGGGUAAAGGCCUACCAAGGCGACGAUCAGUAGCUGGUCUGAGAGGACGACCAGCCACACUGGGACUGAGACACGGCCCAGACUCCUACGGGAGGCAGCAGUGGGGAAUUUUGGACAAUGGGCGAAAGCCUGAUCCAGCAAUGCCGCGUGUGUGAAGAAGGCCUUCGGGUUGUAAAGCACUUUUGUCCGGAAAGAAAUCCUUGGCCCUAAUACGGUCGGGGGAUGACGGUACCGGAAGAAUAAGCACCGGCUAACUACGUG
rnacentral:rRNA from 1 species